rnacentral:rRNA from 1 species
UGAGGGCCUUCGGGAGGGUAAACUGAAUUUUGUACGGAUUGAAAGGGUGAGCUCUAAUACAGUUUGCUAAUGACGGUACCGUAAGAAUAAGCACCGGCUAACUACGUGCCAGCAGCCGCGGUAAUACGUAGGGUGCGAGCGUUAAUCGGAAUUACUGGGCGUAAAGCGUGCGCAGGCGGUGAUGUAAGACAGAUGUGAAAUGCCCGGGCUCAACCUGGGACCUGCAUUUGUGACUGCAUCGCUAGAGUACGGUAGAGGGGGAUGGAAUUCCGCGUGUAGCAGUGAAAUGCGUAGAUAUGCGGAGGAACACCGAUGGCGAAGGCAAUCCCCUGGACCUGUACUGACGCUCAUGCACGAAAGCGUGGGGAGCAAACAGGAUUAGAUACCCUGGUAGUCCACGCCCUAAACGAUGUCAACUGGUUGUUGGGUCUUCACUGACUCAGUAACGAAGCUAACGCGUGAAGUUGACCGCCUGGGGAGUACGGCCGCAAGGUUGAAACUCAAAUGAAUUGACGG